AGCAGCCGCGGUAAUUCCAGCUCCAAUAGCGUAUAUUAAAGUUGUUGCAGUUAAGAAGCUCGUAGUUGAAUUUCGGGGCCAGUAGGUUGGUCGUGCCACUGGUAUGCACUGGCCUUAUUGGUCUCUCCCUCUUGAAGAACCGUAAUGCCAUUAAUUUGGUGUUGCGGGGAAACAGGACUGUUACUUUGAAAAAUUAGAGUGCUUAAAGCAGGCUAACGCUUGAAUACAUUAGCAUGGAAUAACGGAAUAGGACGCUUGAUUCUAUUUUGUUGGUUUCUAGGAUCAACGUAAUGAUUAAUAGGGAUAGUUGGGGGCAUUAGUAUUCAAUUGUCAGAGGUGAAAUUCUUGGAUUUAUUGAAGACUAACUACUGCGAAAGCAUUUGCCAAGGAUGUUUUCAUUAAUA
rnacentral:rRNA from 1 species